CCCGCCUCCUGUCUCCGAACAGCGGAGCAGCUUAGCUCUUGUGAACACAGGCUAUUGGCUAUCGUGCAUUUAGCCCAUUCGUAGGUGAUAGGCUUAGGUGAACUUAAGGCCAAACCACCUUUUAAAGAAGUUUUCCCUCAUUUUUUUCCGGCGUCAACACAAGUUACAAUGGCUUCUUCUGGCGACGGAAGAAAAGAUCUUCCUUCUCUGAGCAAACAAAGCACAGAGGGGGGCAAAGAUAAAGGGAAGGACACAGGUAAAAACAAAGUCAACAACGCACCGUCCAAGCCGACGAGGCCAAUAUCCAUACCAUUGGUGAUGGUGUCUGCUGCAGACAGUACGUUCAUGACGCCCCAGACGAAUCCUGCUGGGCCACAUCGGAUGCAGCUCCGGCCCAGAGCCCCCUCUUCAGCCACGUUCGCUGCCGCCCCUGGGUCCUCGUCUUCCUUUCUGACAGUUCCUGUCAACACUGACAAGGGAACCCCUCCCAACACACCUGGUACCCCUCCGCCUUUCAGGAACCCUACGAAUCUCGGCGUCUCUGCUGCAAGCGAACCCGAGACUCAUGGCAAGUAUACUGACAGCAGUUCUCAGACAUUGGGCCUACCUGCUACUAGUGCUAGUGGCUCCAGACUCGCGGCAAGUCUGACUCCAAGACAUUGGGCCUACCUGCUACUAGUGCUAGCGGCUCCAAGACUCGCGGCAAGUCUGACUCCAAGACAUUGGGCCUACCUGCUACUAGUGCUAGCGGCUCCAAGACUUCCUCGUCUUGCUUUCUGACAGUUCCUGUCAACACUGACAAGGGAACCCCUCCCAACACACCUGGUAUUUAUCUGAAACUUUUUUUUUGGGGGGGUGAACAAGUCUUUUAUUUCUGUUUUUAAAUCGGCACAGGAGGCGCCUCUCGUUUGGGAAAAAAAGUAAUUAGCACGUGAUUUCAUCAGUAUUUUAUUUCAGCUCUUUCACACCAUAAUCACAUUCCUUAUAAGGCAACUUUCUGGUAGAUUUUUUUUUCUUCUCAUUAAUAUUCCUUUUCUAACAUUUUGUAAUUUGUUUUGUAAGAAUGUAUACUUUUCAUCUGUGCACAAGUGCUGUGUACAUUGCACCUAAGGAUACACUCUUAUGUAUAUGUGCUUCAAUUCCCAAAUGUCCAUUUGUGUGAUUCUUUGGGACUUUUUUUUUUGUCGAUCCCUGGUCCAAGAACGGAAGAGGUGUAAGCGUGAAAUGCGCCAAAUCUUUUUUUGUACCGUGUACAGUUGAACAUGGUGUGGUAUUUUAUGUGAACCUUCUUACCUUUAACUUGACAAUAAUGGAGAGAGAAAACAGCAACGCGUCAAAAUCUGAUGACUAUAAUCAUUAUGCAUGCUGUUGUGUGUGUGUGUGUGUCUUUGUUCGUGUGUUUCACAUGUCUGCCCUGUACAUUAACAAGUAAUUGAACUGAUUGCGUCUUGAUCGUUGGNAUUGAUGUGAAAAACCUACAUAUAAACACAUGACUAGGAGUGUGAGAAAUAACAUGAAGUGAAGAACAACAUUCUGAAGUGGUGUAUAUUAAAAAAAAAUAAUAAUAAUUAAAUGUCCUUUUAUGCAUACAAGAUGUUUUCGCUCUUAUAUCAGUUAAAGCGAACAGGUUCUAUGUACCUCAGCUUAAAAGUCAGUAAAGUCGUUUUAAUAC
rnacentral:misc_RNA from 1 species